CCUACGGGAGGCAGCAGUGGGGGAUAUUGCACAAUGGGGGGAACCCUGAUGCAGCGACGCCGCGUGGGUGAAGGAGUGCUUCGGCAUGUAAAGCCCUAUCGGCAGGGAAGAAGCAAGACGGUACCUGACUAAGAAGCCCCGGCUAACUACGUGCCAGCAGCCGCGGUAAUACGUAGGGGGCGAGCGUUAUCCGGAUUCACUGGGUGUAAAGGGCGCGUAGACGGCCAAGAACGCCUGGGGUGAAAGCCCGGUGCGCAAGCCCGGGACUGCCCUUGGAACUGCAUGGCGGGAGUGCGGGAGGGGCAGGCGGAAUGCGUGGUGUAGCGGUGAAAUGCGUAGAUAUCAGGAGGAACACCGGCGGCGAAGGCGGCCUGCUGGACCGCGACUGACGUUGAGGCUCGAAAGCGUGGGGAGCGAACAGGAUUAGAUACCCCGGUAGUC
rnacentral:rRNA from 1 species